AAAAAUAUACGCCCGGUGACUGGCGGCUCAUUAACAUAAUGCAUUCGUGAAAGCCGUCUCGAGUUUUUUGCACCCCCCGCGCCCCACCCCUCCGACGUAUGGGCUGGUGACAUUAGCAUAAUUUAUUUAAGUUACAGAGCUGCGCAUUGUGGAAGGGGAGUGUCUUGUACCCCAGAAGUGACGUCAGGAAGCUGCCGCUCCGCCUGUGCACUGCAAUCCGAGGUCACGCCCGCGUUGAGCUGCUAUAACGCUCUUGUUUUCAGAAGCGAUCUGCCCACCACACAAGCUGUCACUUCCUCUGCAGAAUUGAUCUGAUGGAGCUAAGGCACUCGGCGCAGCUCGAUGCAAAAAGGCAACAAUGCGACCGGUGUGCAUACAGCACAGAUCAUCCUGGAAAUUUGACACGGCACCAGAGAACUCACACAGGAGAGAAACCCUUCAAGUGCAGUGUGUGUGGGAAGGCAUUUUCACAUU